rnacentral:rRNA from 1 species
AUUAAAUUUUAAUAUUAAAUUUUAUAUAAAUUUUAUAAAAGUAAAUGCAUAUAAAAAUUGUCUAGAAGUGUUUAUAUUAUUUAGUAUUAAAUAUUUUCAAAAAAAAGAAAUUUUUUUAAGUUUUUUAUUUUCAAAUAAAUGUGCCAGCAGUUUCGGUUAAACAUUAAAUUUUUUUAUAAUUUUAUAAUACUUUAUUAAUUUUUAAUAACUUUUUAUUUAGAAUAAUUAUUUAAUUUUUAGGUUAAAUUAAUUAUUAAAUUAUUAAUUUCUUUUUUAAAAAUAAAAAAAAGUAGAAAAAAACAGGAUUAGAUACCCUAUUAUUACUUUUAAUUUACACUAAAAAUAUUAAAAUUUAAAUAUUUAAAUUUUAAAUAAAUGGCGGCACAAUAACUAAAUUAGGGAAUUUUGUUUAUAUUAAUAGAUUUUACACAUUAAACCUUAUUUUAUUUUUUGCUUAUUUAUUUCCGUUUUAGAAUCAAUAUAAAAAUUGAUUUAAAAUAAUUAUUUAUUUUUAAUUCAGGUCAAUAUGUAGCUUAUAAUAAAAAUUAAAUGAAAUACACUUAAUAAAUAAAAAUUUAUAAGUUAAUUAAAAAUUUACUUAAUAAAAAGAACUUAAAAGUAAAAAAAUAUAGAAAAAUUUUUUGAAUUAGAAAUUUUGUGUGUACAAAUCGCCCGUCACUCUUAUAAAUUAGAUAAGUCGUAACAUAGUAAAUGUAUUGGAAAAUGUAUUUAGAACGUAAUAUAAAGUUUA